rnacentral:rRNA from 1 species
CAUAUCAAUAAGCGGAGGAAAAGAAACCAACAGGGAUUGCCUCAGUAACGGCGAGUGAAGCGGCAACAGCUCAAAUUUUAAAGCUGACGUCUUCGGCGUCCGCGUUGUAAUUUGGAGAGGCAUCUUCGGUUUGGGCGCCAGUCUAUGUUCCUUGGAACAGGACGUCACAGAGGGUGAGAAUCCCGUGCUUGGCUGGCUGUCCCUUUCCAUGUGAAGUGUCUUCGACGAGUCGAGUUGUUUGGGAAUGCAGCUCAAAAUGGGUGGUAAAUUUCAUCUAAAGCUAAAUAUUGGUGGGAGACCGAUAGCGCACAAGUAGAGUGAUCGAAAGAUGAAAAGCACUUUGAAAAUAGAGUUAAAAAGUACGUGAAAUUGUUGAAAGGGAAGCGCUUGAGACCAGACUCGGCCGGGGAUGAUCAGCGGUCCUUCUGGGCCGUGCACUUGUCUCCGGUUGGGCCAGCAUCGGUUGAGACGGCGGGAUAAAGGCCUGGGGAAUGUGGCUCCUUUCGGGGAGUGUUAUAGCCCCGGGCGCAAUGCCGCCAGCCUCGACCGAGGACCGCGCUUUUUGCUAGGAUGCUGGCGUAAUGGUCUUCAGCGACCCGUCUUGAAACACGGACCAAGGAGUCUAACAUCUAUGCGAGUGUUUGGGUGUCAAACCCUUGCGCGUAA